rnacentral:lncRNA from 1 species
ACAGAGACAGCUGCCUGGAAGGGGGCAGGUGUAGGCAGCUUCCUGCCAGCAAUGCUCAACCCAGCAGGGAUGGCAAGAGGGGCACCUCCAACUACUACUGUCAAAUUCUCCCUGAACACAAAGAACUUGGAGACAUUGUCCCCUGCCGCGGUUCUUCAGGAAGAAGUCAGAGCCAGAACCAACAUCCUCAGAGCGAGGACUUGGAGAGGAGAGUCCUGGAGAGGAGGCAUCGCACACCCACGCCCACUCCGACACUCGGGAUUUCAGACAAGCACCUUCUUCAAGUAGCGAUGCACACAGGGUCGCGUUUAGCACAAACAAAUCCUCCUCCUGGAAGCAAGGUGAGUCACUGCGCACAGAUAUCUCUUCCUCGGGAACACCCAAAACUUAAGGAUGCUGGCGCAGUAAUACCUAUCUUUGAACUCACUCACUGAAUCGGACGGAGUGUGGGUGUGCCUGGAGCCCCCUGACACGUGUGUGCACCGCGGCGCGCGCCCCUGGGCUGCCUGCUAGAGUAUAGUGCCUUGGAGUUUGGGAACUCCGGUCCAUCACUCCCAUCACUUCUCACCGUGGGGAGCAACGGCGUCUCAAACCCUGGGGACCUCUGCACAAGGUCCAGGCAAUACACCUCCCUUAUGGGCUCUCUUCUCCAGGCAGAAAAGUAGAAAAGGGCCUGGCUGAGGCUCGUUAGUCUCAACUUCAGCCGAGCGACCCUGCUCUGUCCAGCCCCUAGACUCCACCGCCCGCACGUGCCCCACUGGCCCCCUAGUGUUGCCCGGGACCACGCGGGACGCGGGUGUCCUCCGAACUCAGCAGCCUUACCGGUCCCAGGGUUCGGGAGGCGGGGUGGGAGAGCUCGGCCGGCUGCGGCAGGUCCACGCGGGGCGCCAAGUCUUCCAGCCGCGGCGACCGCUGCGGGGCCCCGAGCGCGUAGCUGAGGCCGGUCCCCACCCCCGGGACUGGAGUUUGCAGAGGAGCCCGGCAGGAAUGCACGGAAUGGGCGCUGGAAUGAGACGCGCGCGGCUGGGGAGGGAGCGGAGGGAGUGGCGCUGCCACCCGCACCUUUGGGAGGAGACCGGGCCAGAGAGAGGCUGGGCUCCACGGCUGGGCGGAGCCCGGGAACCGCGGGCGGCCACGGGACAGGACACGGCGGAGACACCCGGGAACCCCGCGGACCCCUCGGCGCCUCUCGCCGCUCGCACCCACACCCCUUGACUCUGAUCUACCGAUUUCCCGCUCUCAUCCAGCUCCCCACACCCCCGGGUUGCGUUGAGUCCUAACUGUCUCUCCACCACCUCCAGCCGAAAACCGUCCCCUCCGCCGGGGUGGGGCGCGCCUCGCUGCGCUCCUGGAGUACGCGGACAGGAGCAGGAAGGGCUGUUCCCUUCCCCGAGGCUGCUACGGAGGACACUCGCUCCGGGAGCAGGAAGCAGGAACUCCCGGCUCUGCUCCCAGAUCCGCCACCGCUUUCCCUCGCCAGCCCUCCCCAACAUCAGUCUUUCAGUUCUUUCCUUGUCCCUUGGGAUCUGCAGAACUGUCACUUCUCAAAGAGCAGGAAAGGAGAGACCAGUCAUGGGUCUACCGGAUGCUGGGAGAAAUAAUAAAGAUUAGGUCCCAGCAGUGGUUCAUAGAGAGCUGGAACUUAGCUGGUUACCCAAGGUACAGGACAGAGUCGCCAUGAAGUUAGAAGUCUGAGUUUUAAAGAAGGGUGCCAGAUCAAUUUAGGAGAAACACGUGAGCUCGGGCUGCGAGUCUUUAGAACCAUUUGGCUUAAAUCAGUUACUACCUAGCUCCCGCAUUCACCUUGUCACUUUGAGAAACUUAAAAUC